rnacentral:misc_RNA from 1 species
GUCGUAACAAGGUUUCCGUAGGUGAACCUGCGGAAGGAUCAUUACCACACCUAAAAAAACUUUCCACGUGAACUGUCGUUAUUUGUUGUGUGUGUGCGUGUUGGUAGCAUGCGUGUUUGCUUACGCUUUGGUGUUUGCGAGUGUGUGUGUUGUCGGUGCGCAGACUGAACGAAGGUCGUGUGUUGCUGUGUGCCUGCUGCACUGCUGACUUUGCAUUGAUUUGCAUGGUGUUGGCGGAGCGGCGGGUGCUGUUGCGUGCGCGGCUGACCUAUUUUUUUCAAACCCCAUACCUAAAUGACUGAUUAUACUGUGAGAACGAAAGUUCUUGCUUUGAACUAGAUAACAACUUUCAGCAGUGGAUGUCUAGGCUC